CCCUUAGAUGUCCUGGGCCGCACGCGCGCUACACUGAGUGUCUGAGAUACGAGUCUGCCUGGUCCGGCAAGGUCUAGGUAAUCGCUAAAAGACACAUCAUGCUUGGGAUAGAUUAUUGCAAAUAUUAAUCUUGAACGAGGAAUUCCUAGUAAGCGCAAGUCAACAGCUUGCGUUGAUUACGUCCCUGCCCUUUGUACACACCGCCCGUCGCUACUACUGAUUGGAUGUUUAAGCGAGGUUCUCGAACUGCUAGCGACUUAGCUUCGGUGAGGUCGCAGUGUGGGAAGUGAACCUAGCUUUUGUGUCUAGAGGAAGUAAAAGUCGUAACA
rnacentral:rRNA from 1 species